UCCGGCUAAUCCCCCGUACGCUUGCCGGGCCGCAUGGCUUGGCAAGGAAAGGUAGCUUCGGCCAUCCGGCGAGGGAUGGGCCCGCGGUGCAUUAGCUAGUUGGUGGGGUAACGGCCCACCAAGGCGCGAUGCAUAGCUGGUCUGAGGGAUGAUCAGCCACACUGGGCUGAGCCGGCCCAGACUCCUACGGGAGGCAGCAGUCGGGAAUCUUGCGCAAUGGGCGAAAGCCUGACGCAGCAACGCCGUGUGGGCGACGAAGGCCCUCGGGUCGUAAAGCCCGUGUUGGGGACGAAGGGUUUUUGGUUAAUAGCCCCGAGCCUGGCGG
rnacentral:rRNA from 1 species